CAGCCGCCGCGGUAAUACCGGCGGCCCGAGUGGCGGUCACUAUUAUUGGGCUUAAAGCGUCCGUAGCCGGGUUGGGAAGUCCUCCGGGAAAUCUGGCCGCUUAACGGUCAGAAUGCCGGAGGAUACUCCCAGCCUAGGGAGCGGGAGAGGCCGAGGGUAUUCCCGGAGUAGGGGGGAAAUCCUAUAAUCCCGGGAGGACCACCUGUGGCGAAGGCGCUCGGCUGGAACGCGUCCGACGGGGAGGGACGAAGGCCAGGGGAGCAAACCGGAUUAGAUACCCGGGUAGUCCUGGCUGUAAACGAUGCGGACUUUGUGUCGGACAAGCUAUGAGCUUGUCCGGUGCCGGAGGGAAACCGUUAAGUCCGCCGCCUGGGGAGUACGGCCGCAAGGCUGAAACUUAAAGGAAUUGGCGGG
rnacentral:rRNA from 1 species